CAGGGAGGCGGUUCUCAGUCGUGCCGCUUCCUCCCCCAGGGACGUGGCCUGGCUUGGGGACUGCGACGAGGGCUGUCUAGCCUUGGCCGACCUCCUGGGAUGGAAGAAAGAGCUGGAGGAACUGGUGAAGAAGGAGCACGCGGCCAUCGAGGCGCAGGCCGGGACCAGCCUGCACCCUCUCGCCGCCCAGGCCAAGGCUGCCCUGGCUGGCAAGGAGCCCACCAAUGCUGGCAAGGAGCCCGCCAAGGCUGAGGAAGCCCAGAAGCCCCAGUGACCCGGGGGGCCGGAGGCCAGGGCCCCUCCCCCGGGGCCGCUCCCGAGGGGAUAAACACUGCCCUCAGCUCUAACCCUCCCGGGGCCCUCCCCGCUCCCCCCCGGCGCCUAACCUCCCCCCGCCCGCCAAGCUCUAACUCUAACUGCCCUUGGGGUCCAGCUUCUCAGCAGAGAGUUUGGGACCUGAACAUCCCCGGCCUCUAACCCUUCCUGGGGCCCUGCCCCUGGGGGUGUCAGGGACUGGGACCCCGACAUCUCCCCUCCCCCAGGAUGCCGGGCUCUCUGCCCUCAGCGUCCCCCUAACAGCUAGCCUGACCCCGGGAGAUGAGGGCCUGCGCCCCCCGAGCCCCCCACACCCCACCCUCCCUUGGACAUUGAAAGCGGUGGAAAGCCGGGGGGGACGUGGGGAACGUGUCUGUGACAGGAGCGAAAUAAAGCUAAGAAUGGGAUCCGC